AUUGAACGCUGGCGGCAUGCCUUACACAUGCAAGUCGAACGGCAGCGGACCUUCGGGUGCCGGCGAGUGGCGAACGGGUGAGUAAUAUAUCGGAACGUACCUUUCAGUGGGGGAUAACGUAGCGAAAGUUACGCUAAUACCGCAUAUUCUGUGAGCAGGAAAGCAGGGGAUCGCAAGACCUUGCGCUGAUUGAGCGGCCGAUAUCAGAUUAGCUAGUUGGUGAGGUAAAGGCUCACCAAGGCGACGAUCUGUAGCGGGUCUGAGAGGAUGAUCCGCCACACUGGAACUGAGACACGGUCCAGACUCCUACGGGAGGCAGCAGUGGGGAAUUUUGGACAAUGGGCGCAAGCCUGAUCCAGCCAUGCCGCGUGAGUGAAGAAGGCCUUCGGGUUGUAAAGCUCUCUCGGCCGGGAAGAAAUCGCACAGGUUAAUACCCUGUGUGGAUGACGGUACCGGAAUAAGAAGCACCGGCUAACUACGUG
rnacentral:rRNA from 1 species